CUGUCCGCCCGCUGCUUGCGCGCAGGCUCCUGACGGGCACCGGCCGCGCUGGAAAUGUCUGGUUCGGAUAGCCACCUUCUGUCCUUGGAAAUGCCAAACGUGGUUUAAUGGCAAUCCUGGCCCAUCUCAUCAAUGCAGUGUUGAGAAGAUGAACCUCAAAGAAGAAAUAGUAGUGAAGGUGGUAGAGCCAGAAGAAAGCUCUGAGGACUGGUUGUGGUUUCACCUAUCAAGAACUGCCUUUUCUAGGGACAUCAGGCAGUAGUUCUUCUGGGAAAGUAAAGCCAAAACAAAGGCAGGUCUCAGGCAGACCAAAUGAAAUAACUGAAGAGGACCUACUGCAGAUUCAGCAGACCCAGAUGCAGGUGAUCAGUCUGGCUUUGACAGCGUCAACCACAAUCUUCGGCUGCUGCAGCAAGGCAUGCAGGAUCUGAGUAACAGCAUCAGCAUCAUGGCGCAUACGCUUGUUGCUAUCAAAAACGUCUAUGUGAAAAACACACUGGCCCAACCACACAUGCCACGCCUCUACUCAGACCACAGCUGGGUACCUGAGCCCAGGUUCCCCCCAGAUCUCCCCUCCUGAGGACAGAGGUAGAGUGCAGGUGGCUGGAAGCAGCAGCAGAAGCAGCAGCAGCAGCUCCAGCUCCAUGGCACAAGAACCAGGUCCCUCCGAGUUUUCUAGGCCCUCUGUGAGAACCAUAAGAAAGAACAUCCAAUGGCUGCUACUACUUCUGCUUUGCAGAUGUGUAAAAACUUGAAUAUAUGUAAAGUGACUGUGGUGUUAGGUGCUGUUUGUAUGUUCUGCUCCGGCCUGUGACUGAAGGAGCAAAGUGGACUUGCUCCUGUGUUUUUCCCAGUGGGAAACAUUUUUGCUAUAGGGUGGCAUUAAACACUAAUUACCAGUCUCCCGUUUGUUAACUCUGUUGCAGUUGGCUAAUAAUUUUCUUCUGUUUUCUUUAUCCUCUUAAAAAAUCAAACAUUUGAGUAAGACUUUUGUCUGUAUCAUCCUUUGUUUCAUGUCACCUUUUGAAAACUAAAAGGCAUGA